rnacentral:lncRNA from 1 species
CCCCACUCCAGAGGUGUUCAUUUAUCUUUUCUCCUGUUGGACACGGGACUCUCUAUCUGCAUACUGCAGGCAAUAGUGUUUUGGAAGAAGGAGCAUGACAAUCCCAUAAUGAUGGAGGCACACUUAUGUUACUCAUAUUGAAAUACAAUAUGAAAAACAUUGGUCUGAAACAAACUGCACCCUGAAGUGAUAUGGUAAGUACACAGAGAAGACUCCAUUUGGUAUAAUCCAGUAUCAGGUAAACAGUAUGGGAAUACUUCAUACUGCCACUUAGGGAAAGGAAUGCUUUAUGUUGUAAAAAUAAUUGCUGAUUUUUUUUCCUGCUGGCUCCCUUUAGGUUCCCUGAAGUAAUUGCUACUCAAACGCACUUGAGG